GAUGAAGAACGUAGCUAAAUGCGAUACGUAAUGUGAAUUGCAAAUUCAGUGAAUCAUCGAGUCUUUGAACGCACAUUGCGCCCCCUGGUAUUCCGGGGGGCAUGCCUGUCCGAGCGUCAUUGCUGCCCUCAAGCACGGCUUGUGUGUUGGGCCCCGUCCUCCGAUCCCGGGGGACGGGCCCGAAAGGCAGCGGCGGCACCGCGUCCGGUCCUCGAGCGUAUGGGGCUUUGUCACCCGCUCUGUAGGCCCGGCCGGCGCUUGCCGAUCAACCCAAAUUUUUAUCCAGGUUGACCUCGGAUCAGGUAGGGAUACCCGCUGAACUUAAGCAUAUCAAUACGCGGAGGA
rnacentral:misc_RNA from 1 species